rnacentral:rRNA from 1 species
GAUGAACGCUAGCGGCAGGCCUAACACAUGCAAGUCGAGGGGCAUCGAGAUGGCAGCAAUGUCAUUGUCGGCGACCGGCGAACGGGUGCGUAACGCGUGAACAACUUGCCCGACACAGGGGGAUAAUCGUCGGAAACGUCGUCUAAUAUCCCAUAAGAUAAACAUAGGCAUCUAUGUUUAUUGAAAGUUUUAUAGAGCGGUGUCGGAUAGGUUCGCGUGACAUUAGCUAGUCGGUGGGGCAACGGCCCACCGAGGCGACGAUGUCUAGGGGUUCUGAGAGGAAGGCCCCCCACACUGGGACUGAGACACGGCCCAGACUCCUACGGGAGGCAGCAGUGAGGGAUAUUGGACAAUGGGCGGAAGCCUGAUCCAGCCAUGCCGCGUGAAGGAAUAAGGGUCCUAUGGGGUCGUAAAACUUCUUUUGAACGCAAGAAGCAAAUAAAGGGAA